UUUUUGCCUCGCUAACUCGAGUCCGCGGGGUGGUAGAGUAGGUGGGGUACAGGCAAUAUCUGGUCGCUGUGUUUAGCAUCAUGGAAUCCUUUGAUAUCGAAGAAAUCCUCUUAGACGAUGAUGUACUUGAAAUGGCUGGCGAAGAAAAAUUCGACGUUCCCUCAUCUACCGCUGAUAGUUUCAGUGGGGUCUGUUUGGAGAUCUUGCAAGAGUCCUGCAAUGCUUUAAUUGCUGUCAGAUGACUGCAUAUCCGACAGCGUAAAGGAGAUAAUCCGUAAUAUAGAUGGACCUGCACUUCUUCAGGAUUUACAAUUCCUGAAUCAGUGUUUAGUGAAGAAGGGCAGGUUCAAAACUGCGGCCAAAGAAAAGGCUUACUCCAAUUUCAACAGGGAAUUUGUCAGUCAUUGUAAGGAUGUAGAAAGGCACAUCCCAUCACCUGCAUCUACAUGGGUCUGCCUAAAGGUGUUUGAAUUUAUGGUAAACAAGAAAUACAACUUCCCAUUAAGCAAUCAGGCAACCAGUGUAAGUGAGGUCACUGACGAAGAAAUAGACAUUGUUGAGUAUAUUGCAGGCUAUGUGCUGUGUAGUGUUAAGAGACGAGCACUAAAAUUAUCUCAUACUGAGAAAGAAGACAUUUUAUUAUGUAUAAAAGAACUAAUACCUGAACAUGACACAGCUUCUGAACCUUCUGAUAGAUCAUUGACUCAAAUUCUGGACAGAGGGGGUCUUACAAAAUUAAAACCUGUGCUUGAGAUUUUUCUAAAGCUAGAGUCUAUUUUUAGACAAUGUUUUGAAUGAACAUGUGUACCGUUUGAACCGGCAUUCUCUCCCCUAGGUCAUUAUGCAAGUCUAAGGCCUAUGCUAUCAAUAGUUUUCGAGCUAUUUUUAACUAAACCAGGUCACCCUUUUUCGUAUUGUUGACUGCCAUUGGCUUAUAUUGUGGUUUCCAGUACAAAAGUUAAAACGACGUGAUCUGAUUGGUUCGUACCCAAACAAUGAUCACUUCUGUCGUCUCCAAAAUGGCUGACAUUUGUUGAUUCAUUCCAGCUUGGUUUGCUCUUGACGCAUAGUUUGCUGAAUAUCGUCUAAUUUACGAGUGAAAAGAACAAAUCUUGGUUCAUGAUGAGACCAAUGAAUCUGUAUCCCCUACCUUAUACACAUCCGUGAUGAGAUCGAAAAUAUGUUUAGUUGUAAAUGAUUCAUAUAAAUUUAUGAUCUGGUUACAAAAGACAAGAAGGUAAAUUGACCGAGGAAGAUGUUAAAGAAGUUUUGUGACCUUUCCGUCCAUAGUUACAUAGCCAUCUCUUGCCCCACUCCACCUUUCUUUCUCGAUGCCUUUCCUCUUCCAGCCAUCAAAAAGGACCUUCCAUUCAACUGAUAGAGGAAGAAUGCUGUGACACGCGAGCACUGAACCUGGUAGGCUCCACGCCUCUCACCUGGGACGCAGGUGUUAUAACAAAGCUAUUCACUUGCGGCCUAAUAACGUAGUGGUAAAACAUUUGCUAUCGGCACAUCGAGGUCUUCUGCUCUCACACUUAUAUGUAGUCAAUAAAGAUUUAUAAAUCCCUCAUGCAAUUAUUUAGCCAACUACUUUGAAACAUCAGAAAUUUGUAUUUGAAUAAAUCAAGCCAUUGCAUAAGAUUUGUAUUACACAAAGGAGUAAACUGUUAAAAUUAUUUUAAUAUAUUGGUAUUAUACAAACGUGGUGCACUGUGGUUGGUGAAAAACACAACUUUGGAAAAAGCAAUAUGUGCAUGUGUGUCCCAUUGAUCAUAUUUUCUAAAAGUUGACCAUUCUCACCCUAAUGCAAAAUUCUUUCUCUAGAUUUUGCCACACUUGAAAAUCUCACAAAAAAGCAUGCACAAAGAGAAGAUUGUAAGCAUGAUAAUAGAUCAUUGAAAGAGGUGGUGGGGAAGGGGGACAACAAGAGUAUGUUGAACAGCUACAGACUAAGCUAACAAACUUUCCUGGAGAAAUUCAUCUUCAGCAGCACCAGCACUGGUGGAAUGUGGGGCCUUACCAACAUACGGUAAUAAAUGACAUAGCAUUGUAAUACUGUAAAUGGUGGCUUCUGAAUAAUAAUAUAAAAAAAUCAGACCACAAAUUUUGAAAGAAAUCCUUUCGGGAAGAAGCAUUCUUUCCAGUCUUGAUGAGGUGGCAACCUCGCCCUUGUAAGUCAAGUCAUAUCUUCAAACAUUUUUUAUCCUCUCAGAUUUGACAGCUUUCUGACAUGAGGGAAGCCUAAUGGGGGAAAGAACCAGCAUUAAAAGUAAUGCAUAAUCAGAAUUUACUUUUACUCCACAGAAAGGGGAUAUGAUUUGAGAUCUUGGAAUUUUGAAGAUUGUGAAAACUACUGAUUAUCUCAUCUCUUGAGGCACCAUCCCACCAGGUGCUAUGCACAGGGCCUUCUUUGGGUGUGGGGGCCUUGUGGGUUCCCCUACUUGCCACCCCCUAGUGCCAGCAUUGGCUUAUGGCAUAAAGUAUUCUCAAUAAUAAUCUGAUCUUGGCAGUUUUAAUAGGAGCAACCAAAUGUGAAAUCAGACAAACUAUGUAUAUUACUUUUGAUGAGGGAAUGUUCGCCUAAUCUUAAGUUGUGAACUAAUUAAUAACUGUGCAUAAUAAUAAAUGAUGUGAAUUACAUGCCUUUCUGAAAAUAUACAAUGUCAAGUUCUCUGAAAAUGCCAGAGAUAAACAAUUUUCCUGAGAUGACAGAUUUUAUGACUUCAUUUACUUGAGUGGUAUCUUGUUUCAAACAAAGUAUGCCAUUUUUCAGGUAGAAAAUGUUCACAUGCAGUAUACACUAUAUAUUCAAAUAAUCUAAUUAAUCGUUGCUAAAAUAAAACUGCUGAUGGCUGUUAAGCAAGUCCAUAGCUUGUAUUUCUAUAAAGCGAUGCAACAAACAUUUAAAUCCAUAGUUGUUUUUUUUUUUGCACAUCCCUUUCAACAAAAAGGUACUUUUCUGUCACACAAAGUAUUCAAAAUUUUCUUCAGACAGGAAAUAACAAUUGCCUCAUACAUAUUCAAAAACUUGCAUGCAAAAUGAGGGUGAUGUGAUGCUAUGAAAGACGAGGCUAAAUAAUACUGUCAUUCUCAUUUUAAAAAAAGCAGUCAUGAAAAUUGUUGUGCACAAAGAAAUUGCAGGUCUGAAAAAAAUAUUGUUUCAAAAGAGUAGCUGCAAAAGUGAUAAAAUUUUGGCAUACAAUAUAUCAGCUGCAUAUGAAGAAUCAAAUUUCAAGUAUGCCCUCCAUAGCAAUACACAAAAUAUUUUUAAAAUGCUCCAAAAGGAAAACUUUAAAUACAUAAUAUGUACAUAUAUUAUCUGUAUACAAAUGAGUCUGCUUAAUGCCUGUAUUUACAAAAGUAAGAGUAUUUCAGAAAGAACACCUUUUGGUUUUCCACUACUAUAGCAUAUUUUCUCAGCUUUCAAACUGCUUCAAUAUCCACCUUGUUCAUGCUGCAUGCACUAAUGAUCAAGGAGACUUAAGAAAGCAGAGCCCUGUACAUAAGCUUACACAAUAAGAGGCUAUCUUUUAGCCUUAAUAUAAAAAAAAAAAA
rnacentral:lncRNA from 1 species